AGUGAACGCUGGCGGCGUGCUUAACACAUGCAAGUCGAACGAGAACGGGAUAUAGCUUGCUAUAUUUGUCAGCUAAGUGGCGCACGGGUGAGUAAUGUAUAGAUAACCUGCCCUUAAGAAAGGAAUAACAGUUGGAAACGACUGCUAAUGCCCUAUAUGCCUUUAAUACAUAAGUAUGCAAGGGAAACGCUUUAGUGCUUAGGGAUGGGUCUGUAUGGUAUCAGCUUGUUGGUGAGGUAAUGGCUCACCAAGGCUAUGACGCCUAACUGGUUUGAGGGGAUGAUCAGUCACACUGGAACUGAGACACGGUCCAGACUCCUACGGGAGGCAGCAGUGGGGAAUAUUGCACAAUGGACGAAAGUCUGAUGCAGCAACGCCGCGUGGAGGAUGACACAUUUCGGUGCGUAAACUCCUUUUAUAUAGGAAGAUAAUGACGGUACUAUAUGAAUAAGCACCGGCUAACUCCGUGCCAGCAGCCGCAGUAA
rnacentral:rRNA from 1 species